rnacentral:pre_miRNA from 1 species
GGGGGGGAGCCUGAUCCUGGGCUGUGUCCCGGCGCCCUGUGCUCCGGGGCCUGCGCUGUUGGAUUCGUGCUCCCAGCCGCGAAGUCACCU